GAUGAACGCUGGCGGCGUGCUUAACACAUGCAAGUCGAACGAUGAAGCCCAGCUUGCUGGGUGGAUUAGUGGCGAACGGGUGAGUAACACGUGAGUAACCUGCCCUUAACUCUGGGAUAAGCCUGGGAAACUGGGUCUAAUACCGGAUAGGAGCGUCCACCGCAUGGUGGGUGUUGGAAAGAUUUAUCGGUUUUGGAUGGACUCGCGGCCUAUCAGCUUGUUGGUGAGGUAAUGGCUCACCAAGGCGACGACGGGUAGCCGGCCUGAGAGGGUGACCGGCCACACUGGGACUGAGACACGGCCCAGACUCCUACGGGAGGCAGCAGUGGGGAAUAUUGCACAAUGGGCGAAAGCCUGAUGCAGCGACGCCGCGUGAGGGAUGACGGCCUUCGGGUUGUAAACCUCUUUCAGUAGGGAAGAAGCGAAAGUGACGGUACCUGCAGAAGAAGCACCGGCUAACUACGUGCCAGCAGCCGCGGUAAUACGUAGGGUGCGAGCGU
rnacentral:rRNA from 1 species